AUGUGUCGAUAUAAAUUCAUCACUUGUGGAGUUCCCGUCGUGGCUCAAUUCUAAGACCCAAACAAAUGCUACCCUUGCUAUCUUUGCCUUUCACUCACAAGGAAUUCCUCUCCUCAAGGUGCAAAUAACAUCAGAUUGCCCCCUUCUGAUUGAUUAUGAACCAUCCACUGAGAGGCAUUUAAAAUUGGGUUCCUCUUUGGGGUCCCACAAAAACUCUGGGUAGGGGCGAGGGGUCACACAGCCCCAAAGAGGUCCUCCAGGGGUCCAGGUCAGGGUGGCUGCCCCUCUGGGCAGUGCUGUGGCCUCACCCCAUGGCACACAUUCACUGGCCUUCUGCUCCAUCUGGCAGAGCCCUGCCAAUGCGGGGCCUCCAGGGCCACCCCACAUUCUCCCUGGUGGGCCUGCCUGGAGCCUCCACACGGACCUGGAGCCCACAGAUGUGCCCUGCAGCCAUCUUCCCCUCACAGGUGAGCUCAAGGCUACCUUUUCCUGGCCCCUGGGACGCAGACAGCAGGCUCAGGCACUGUCCCCUUUCCAAGCCUCCAAAACACAACACAUGCGUUCCGCCACUUUCUGCCAUGACAGGACAUCAGCCUUAAAACCACAAAGGUUUUCUGAAUGUAAGGAGGGCUCAAGAUCUUAAGAAGGGCAAAGUCUGGCUCUCUUCCUGGAAAGAGAAACAUAGCCAUAAGCCCACUCUGUCCCCACCCAACAAGGAUGAACGGAAUUAUAUAGCAAAACAUCCACGAAACUAAACAACCAAAAUUUCUCCAUCUCUCACCCAGCAUCCUGCUACACAGAUAUUCACUGAGCACUUGCUAUGCGUGCUCUGUUAGGCUUGGUAGAAGCAAGCCCAUUUUAUCUUUGCAGCAGUGCUGCAAGAAAAAGACAGCAGACUCUCUUCUCCAAAUGAUGGCUGAGAUGUGUUCAGGGUCAAGCAGUAGAGCCCGGAUCGGCACCUACCGGAUGCUCAUGGUUGAGAUUUGCAUAAAUACUAGGGGAUGAAUGGACUUUUAUAACUGGAUACCUUUUAGAAAACUACAUACCACCUGCUAUGCCUUUCUCUGUCCAGUGGUGAGGACGUCUUGCUGGAUUAGCUAGCGCAUUCUGCCUGCCCCUCCCGGGGGUCUGCUGUUGUGCCUUGGGCUGUC
rnacentral:lncRNA from 1 species